rnacentral:lncRNA from 1 species
AUGGAGGAAUGCUUUGUCCACAUGAAGUGUCAAGAUUCUUAUGAGAAAUCAAUUCUCCUGUUUUCACACAGAUUGGAGUCCUUAUUAGCAGUGUCUUGUAGUAAGCAGAUGCUGAACACAGAAACUACUUGCGGAGACUGCCUGCUACUGCUUACCAAGUAUUUUCUUCUGGUCAGAAGGUCAGUCUAUAAAAGAUUGUCUCGAGUAGAAAGAUCAGCAUUCCAGCUAGAGCAGCACUAGAGCUUAUUCUACCAAGAUGAGAAAGUUGGAGAGCAAUGGAUCUUCACUAGCAACUCUCACCGCUGUCCUGUGCGAAGAGACCUCAUGUAAAGCUAAGCCUGAACUGUAAUCAGCAGUGCAAGCAAGUUUGAUUUUUUCCUUUUAAAAUUACCAAGAUAAGUAAGCAUUCAGGAAGGCAUCUGACUGAUCCCACAUGAAUGGCAUACCCCAGGAAUAAUCUCUGACUGGUGGUUUUGUUCUCAGAAUAAGCGCAUGAUGUCUGGAUCCUGAGUAGCAAUAAAGUGAAACUACAAAUAAACCA